rnacentral:rRNA from 1 species
AGUGAACGCUGGCGGUAGGCCUAACACAUGCAAGUCGAACGGCAGCACAGUAAGAGCUUGCUCUUACGGGUGGCGAGUGGCGGACGGGUGAGGAAUACAUCGGAAUCUACUUUUUCGUGGGGGAUAACGUAGGGAAACUUACGCUAAUACCGCAUACGACCUACGGGUGAAAGCAGGGGAUCUUCGGACCUUGCGCGAUUGAAUGAGCCGAUGUCGGAUUAGCUAGUUGGCGGGGUAAAGGCCCACCAAGGCGACGAUCCGUAGCUGGUCUGAGAGGAUGAUCAGCCACACUAGAACUUAGACACGGUCCAGACUCCUGCGGGAGGCAGCAGUGGGGAAUGUGAGACAAUGGGCGGAAGCCUGAUCCAGCGAUACCGCGUGGGUGAAGGAAGCCUUCGGGUUGUAAAGCCCUUUUGUUGGGAAAGAAAAGCAGCAGGUUGAUACCCCGCUGUUCUGACGGUACCCAAUAAAUAAGCACCGGCUAACUUCGUG